rnacentral:rRNA from 1 species
AUGCUUAACACAUGCAAGUCGAACGGUAACAGAUAAGAUGAUCUCUUCGGAGUGAAUCUUUGCUGACGAGUGGCGGACGGGUGAGUAAUGCUUGGGAAUCUGCCCAAUAGUGGGGGAAAACUCGGGGAAACCCGGGCUAAUACCGCAUAAUCUCUACGGAGGAAAGAGGGCCUCUACAUGUAAGCUCUCGCUAAUGGAUGAGCCCAAGUCAGAUUAGCUUGUUGGUAAGGUAAUGGCUUACCAAGGCUACGAUCUGUAGCUGGUCUGAGAGGACGACCAGCCACACUGGGACUGAGACACGGCCCAGACUCCUACGGGAGGCAGCAGUGGGGAAUAUUGCACAAUGGGCGCAAGCCUGAUGCAGCAAUGCCGCGUGUGUGAAGAAGGCUCUAGGGUUGUAAAGCACUUUCAAUAGAGAAGAAAAGCUUGAAAUUAAUACUUUCAAGCCUUGACGUAACCUAUACAAGAAGCACCGGCUAAUUCCGUGCCAGCAGCCGCGGUAAUACGGGAGGUGCGAGCGUUAAUCGGAAUUACUGGGCGUAAAGCGAGCGUAGGCUGUUAAUUAAGUCGAAUGUGAAAUCCCCGGGCUCAACCUGGGAACUGCAUCCGAAACUAUUUAACUAGAGUAUGGGAGAGGAAAGUAGAAUUUCCGGUGUAGCGGUGAAAUGCGUAGAUAUCGGAAGGAACACCAGUGG